rnacentral:rRNA from 1 species
UACGAAGGGGGCUAGCGUUGCUCGGAAUCACUGGGCGUAAAGGGCGCGUAGGCGGCGUUUUAAGUCGGGGGUGAAAGCCUGUGGCUCAACCACAGAAUGGCCUUCGAUACUGGGACGCUUGAGUAUGGUAGAGGUUGGUGGAACUGCGAGUGUAGAGGUGAAAUUCGUAGAUAUUCGCAAGAACACCGGUGGCGAAGGCGGCCAACUGGACCAUUACUGACGCUGAGGCGCGAAAGCGCGGGGAGCAAACAGG